rnacentral:rRNA from 1 species
UAAGGAAUAUUGGUCAAUGGACGCAAGUCUGAACCAGCCAUGCCGCGUGAAGGAUGAAGGUCCUCUGGAUUGUAAACUUCUUUUGAAUGGGACGAAACCCUGGUAUUUUAUCAGAUUGACGGUACCAUUAGAAUAAGCACCGGCUAACUCCGUGCCAGCAGCCGCGGUAAUACGGAGGGUGCAAGCGUUAUCCGGAUUCACUGGGUUUAAAGGGUGCGUAGGUGGGUCUGAAAGUCAGUGGUGAAAUCUCCGGGCUCAACCCGGAAACUGCCAUCGAUACUACAGGUCUUGAAUUUUCUGGAGGAUAGCGGAAUAUGUCAUGUAGCGGUGAAAUGCUUAGAUAUGACAUAGAACACAAUUGCGAAGGCAGCUAUCUACAGGGACAUUGACACUGAGGCACGAAAGCGU